GGAAGCUUUCCCAUCAACCUUAUGCCUGCAGUAAUUUGGAAAAAAGGUGCUGCUGCAAGACUCAGUUCCAGCCAGUGGAAUGUGUGCAACUUCCAGGCCUGGCCCAUAAAACCCUCUUGCAUGUGAUCCUUUCACUCUUCUCCCAUCUGAUGGCUGGAUAUUGACAUCAAGGAUGAUGCUGGAUGCCAGAUGUGGAAGAUGGGAAAGCCUCUACCUGUCUGGGUCCCUAUUGGCAAUUUAUAACCAGGAUAUCAGUCUGUGAGCUGUUGUGAUCAACUGGUAACACCCACUUUGAAAAUUUUCAAGACUAACAUCAUCUCAGCCGUAAGGGGUGUCUGGAACCCCAGUGAGACCGAGCUGUUCACUCCCCUGAAAAGGGGGCUGAAGCCAGGGAGCCAAGUGGUCUAGUUCAACAGAUCCCACCCUCACGGAGCACAGCAAGAACUUAAAGUAUAUAAAGACACCGACACACACAGAGAAUGCCAUGUAUGAUGAAGAUAGAGACUAAAGUGAUGCGGCCACAAGCCAAGGCAUGCCAAGGAUUGCUGGCAACCAGGAAAGAAGCAGGGAACAGAUUCUCACUUAACACCUCUGCAAGCAACCAACCCUGCCAACACCUUGAUUUUGGUCUUCUGGCUCCCUGAACUGUGAGAUAUUAAAU